GUUCUCCUGCGCUUGCGCGGCGAAGACAUGGCGCGCGCGUGGCCCGUUCCCGCCAUUUCUCGUGAGGGCGGUGCGCGACGGCGGGUUACCUGGGAACAGAGGCUGACUCCCACCUGGCUACACCCUCCUGUCAGGGACUUGCAGAGUUCCCGUGUCAUCCUGCCAUCCAUGGGCUUUGUGAUGACAGCAACUGCACGGUGUGACAGCAGCAGCCAAAGAACUGGAGACACAGAAGGAGCAUCUGUCUGACUGUUGAAGGGUAAAGGAGCCCCUUUUCCUCAGAAGUGUUGAAAUAAAGAUGUUACUAUUUUUAAAAUGGCACCAGUAGAAAAGCAACAAAGGGAUUUGUUGUAUUUCUGAUGAAUUCUGGUCUGUUUGGGAACUCUUUGCAAGAAUAAACAUUAAGGAUCCCAGAAAUGUUAA